CAAGGCCGUCACACAAUUAAAUGUAUUCAAAAGUUCCUGUAGCUUGCCAGUUUUUACAGCAGCACCAGAAUGACAGAAGAUCUGUAUUGGGUUCUGAGUUGGAUAGUAACUGCCUCUUCACCUCACUUGCCUUCACUAUCAACUUCCAUAACCAGUGAAAAAUAAUGAAAUAAUGGCAAUCAAUCCUCUUCUGCUCUUGGCAUCUCAGCUUUUCCCAAGCCUUAACUCUCCACCUCAACUGCUAUUCCAUCUUAAACAUUUCUGGAAGAAUUUCUCACCUCAAUUUACCAGCUCACUAAUUUUCACGUUGCCAAUAGCUCAUGAGAAUUUUAAUUAAAAAAUGAGCUUUGGAUAGCAGA
rnacentral:lncRNA from 1 species